rnacentral:tRNA from 1 species
AAAGCUUUAAGUUAAGCAUUAAACUAUUAACCUUCAAAGUUAAAAAUACAUUACAUAUGUAAGCUUUA